AUACGGAAGGCAGCAGUGAGGAAUUUUGCGCAAUGGCCGCAAGGCUGACGCAGCAACGCCGCGUGGGUGAAGAAGGCCUUCGGGUCGUAAAGCCCUGUCGGGUGGGAAGAAGUGUGUGGAGUUGAAUAGGCUUCACAUUUGACGGUACCACCUGAGGAAGCACCGGCUAACUCCGUGCCAGCAGCCGCGGUAAUACGGAGGGUGCAAGCGUUAUUCGGAAUUACUGGGCGUAAAGCGCGUGUAGGCGGGAAGAUAAGUCUGAUGUGAAAGCCCCGGGCUUAACCUGGGAAGUGCAUUGGAAACUGUUUUUCUUGAGUACUGGAGAGGAAGGGAGAAUUCCCGGUGUAGAGGUGAAAUUCGUAGAGAUCGGGAGGAACAUCAGUGGCGAAGGCGCCCUUCUGGACAGUUACUGACGCUGAGACGCGAAAGCGUGGGGAGCAAACAGGAUUAGAUACCCGGGUAGUCG
rnacentral:rRNA from 1 species